rnacentral:rRNA from 1 species
ACGUAGGUGGCAAGCGUUGUCCGGAUUUAUUGGGCGUAAAGGGAGCGCAGGCGGUUUUUUAAGUCUGAAUGGGAAAGCCCUCAGCUUAACUGAGGAAUUGCAUCGGAAACUGGAGAACUUGAGUGCAGAAGAGGAGAGUGGAACUCCAUGUGUAGCGGUGAAAUGCGUAGAUAUAUGGAAGAACACCAGUGGCGAAGGCGGCUCUCUGGUCUGUAACUGACGCUGAGGCUCGAAAGCAUGGGUAGCGAACAGG